rnacentral:lncRNA from 1 species
GAAGCAAGAAACAAACAAAAUCAAUAAGUACUCAUUAAUUAAGAAAACAGAGCAUUAUUAUGAAAUCAUACACAUGGAAAACUUAUCAACAAUAAAAAUAACGACAAACACCAUUACAUUCUCCUUUAUAGGAGACAAACAGUAUAAACCCCAAGGAAGAGUGAUUUCUCUAUGAUCUACCUCACAGGUAGAUUGGAAGCAGAAAAAUAAAUACACAAGAGAGCUUUCAAAUAUGACUUUAAACAAUACGGUGUCCCUACUUGCCUUUAAAAAUGCACUGACUCUUGGGGUUCCAGUCUGUCUGGGGAAAUAAAUUCAAGCUGUUACAACUUAAUACAUCAAUUGCCAUGGUGGAAGUAUGAAAAAACAAUGCCUGGAUAUAUAGAAGCAGGAAGAAUAUUCUCUCUUUUAUGAGAUAAGAGAGUUGAAGGUGGCUAUGCCUGCUGCCGAAGAGAGAACCCUGAGUCACAAGUACACAAAUGAAAUGCGAUUGUCUUCGUGGGUUGCAUCGUAUGAUUUGGAGCAAGUCUUCAGGUCUAAUAUAAAGAUCUUUCAAAUAAAUCAUCCAGCUAAGCUUCUGUGGCCCCAAACUCCUAAUUUAAAAAUGUUGAUAAAUGAAGUACCUCUUUAGUUAAUAAAUGAAGUAUCUCUUUAGUUAUCCUUUGUCAGCAACAUUCAUUUUAAUGGAAAGUGAGUUUACAGGGUUACAUGAUUGAACUACUGAGCCAAGUCAGUGUUGGCAAAUGAUGGGCUAAAUUAUUGAUGCUACACACUAAUGAAUUCUGAUGAGAAAUAAAACACAGACAUUACGUUUGAAGUGGUUCAUAAUUAUUUUUGUACUUUAAAAGCAAUUUUAUUCUUUUUCCAAAUCAUACUGGUUCUGUAAAACAAAAACAUAGUUAGUGAUUAUACUAAAAUUAUUGAGUUUGUGGCAAAAAAUGCUCUUGCAAGUUUUCAUUUCUGUGAAGAUAAUGUUAUUCACACUAGGUUUCUGAUUUCCUUAUAUACUUCUGGGAAAAGAUAAUUAAAUUAAAUGUCUAAAUUUUAAAACCAGUGUCUUUAAAUAAGAUAAUCUGCUUUGUAACCAUGGUUAGCAUUCCAAUAGAUGUGUUUAUAAGCUAUGAUAUGUCUAUCAACACAUUUACUGGAGCUGUGUUGAAAUACCAUAAUUAGUUCAAGUAAUGUCAAGUACAGAGGGACUUCCAGCAGGUUUGUUUUGGUAAAGAGCUUAUGUUUAAACGUGUAGCAGAGAAUGCAAUGUGUACUGUAAAGUGAUAGAUGUUUGACGAAGUCAGGGCCUGAUGGCAAUAAUUGAAGCAGGUUCAAACCCUACUAAGGUACAUAGAAGUCUAUACAUUCUGUAGUGUAAUGACAAUGUCCUUUGAGCUUUCCUGACUUAACUGUCCCAGCCUGAGACUUUAAUUCUGCAAGCUUGCUGCCUUCCUUUUUGGUUAAGGGUUGAUUUAUAGUGGAGUCACUCAAACAAGGGCUCAAACUGAAGUGACCACAGGCUGAUUUUUAACUAAGAGGGAUUGUUCACUAAGAGGCAUUAAGGGUGGAACUCACAGUUGUCAAGGUGUUAGUCCACAGAUUCAUCACUUUCUGGUUAUGAGUCUCUGGACCCGUAACUCAGCUCUCUACAAUUCAGUUACCAAAUCCCCCAAAUGUGGUAACAAGUUCUCCCAUCCUAUCUGAGAGGUUUGUUACAAUUAUCAAGUCAGAUAUUGAUGAAACUGAAACCUGUUAAGUGAAUGUAAGGUAAAUUUAUGUCUUAUAUUUGACUGGAUUCUAGUUGGUUUUGUCAAGAUCAUAAGCACUCAUUUGGAAAAUAUUCCCUUUGCCAACUGAGGGAUCUGCAGGGGAAAGGAAUGAGAAGAGUUUUCAAGUCAAGGUUUGGUCAUGUUAGAUGAUUUUCUCCUAUUGAUAAUAUGUGCAGUUUCUUACAUGAAUGAAAAUCCAAAGGUUAAGCCUCCUAUGUUUAAGAACCUAUGAGACUCUGUUGGAUUGAGGUAGGAUACAUAGUGCAUUGAACUUUAGUUCUCAUUUGGUGUACACUUUCUAUGAAACAAAAAUAAAAACUGAGUCUGGUUCAUUUUAACUCUAUAACAUGCCAUUCUCACAUUGUUUUACUGAGUCCCUUUCUCCAUUUUCAUAAUUUUCUCUUUGUCUAUGGUCUAUGAUAGACUUGGCACCAUUUAUGAGAACAAGGCUGCUUCAAGUUUUCAUCUUUUUUGAGUUUUCUUUUAAAAAUGUAUCCUAAUUUUUUUUCUCUUGUUAUAACUGCACUGUUCAUUGUUUUAUGAUCUUGAUACUUUUGGAUGAAAAAUCAUGUGCCUGAGUUAAUCUCACAUCAAAGCAGCAUCAUUAUAUAAUGAUGAUGCUAAGUUGUAUGAAAAAUACCUACUGGAUAUGCUCCAUUAGUCACUAAUUUUCAAACGAAAAGUUCUGUCUUUGAAAAACUCCUCUCCCCCACACCAUUGACAUGGCUCUUCCACUUGAAAAAUGUCCUGCUGGCAUAGAGUGAAUUAAAAAAAAAUAAAAAUGCUGGAGUCUUUUGU